AGUCCGGUCGUCCAACGGUUGAAGACGCUGCUCUGAUAAGGCGGAAACGAAGGUUCGACUCCUUCCCGGACUA
rfam:Fuerstia marisgermanicae strain NH11 chromosome, complete genome.